UUAAAAUGUCGGAAGCAACUUUGUUUGAUUUCAUUUUCAACUUUGAAAAGUCCAUCUUGGAGAAAUGCGCUAGCUUGAAUGCAUCUGAGAAGCUUUUAAACGUUGUCGACUCAGUUUCAAAUAUUGUUUACGGAUCCUGCAAAUUAGUGCCAAGAAUUUCCUCAGAGAUGAAUUUUAAUCUGGUGAAGUUGAUUCCUAAGAGAACAAUUGGAUCUAAUUCUGCUGCAAUGCCUGGUGCAAAAAAGCCAAAAACAGUGGUGACGUUGACAGCAGGUGCUGAUUUGGUCGCCAAUCAAACGCAGAAAAAAGACAUCGGUACGAUUUUCAAAGACAUGAACAUUCUUCCUGAAACAACAAAUGAUCUUCAGUGUGCUUUAUGUCCAUAAAAGGCCACUCAGAAAGGAAACUUGAAAACACAUUACAAGCUGAAACAUCUAGGUGGCGCUGAUUUGACUAUGCUGUGUAGAUUGUGUCAAAAGAAAUGUGCUACAAAAGAUUGUGUCAAAAGAAGUGCUCCACGAAAGGUAGCUUAAAGAAACAUCUUUUGACUGUCCACAAUCUUUCCAAGGAAGACUCCGAAACUUUUCUUCAUUAAUUGAUGACAAGUUAUAUUUUCGAGUUCAAUUGAAAACAUUAUAUUUCUAACAGGUAGUAUCAGGGGCUAUAUUUUUAAUCCUAGUCAAUUCAUUUUUGUUCUAACAAA